rnacentral:tRNA from 1 species
GCCUACUUAGCUUGGAAGGUAGAGCGUCUGCCUUGUAAGCGCUAGGCCGCGGGUUCGAUUCCUGCUCGGGGCG